GACGAACGCUGGCGGCGUGCUUAACACAUGCAAGUCGAGCGGUAAGGCCCUUUCGGGGGUACACGAGCGGCGAACGGGUGAGUAACACGUGGUGACCUGCCCUCAGCUCUGGGAUAAGCCUGGGAAACCGGGUCUAAUACCGGAUAUGACUCCAUGACGCAUGUUGUGGGGUGGAAAGCCUUGUGCGGCUGAGGAUGGGCCCGCGGCCUAUCAGCUUGUUGGUGGGGUGA
rnacentral:rRNA from 1 species